AUUGAACGCUGGCGGCAUGCUUUGCACAUGCAAGUCGAACGGUAACAGGUCUUCGGAUGCUGACGAGUGGCGAACGGGUGAGUAAUGCAUCGGAACGUGCCCAGUCGUGGGGGAUAACGCAGCGAAAGCUGCGCUAAUACCGCAUACGAUCUAUGGAUGAAAGCGGGGGACCGUAAGGCCUCGCGCGAUUGGAGCGGCCGAUGUCAGAUUAGGUAGUUGGUGGGGUAAAGGCCCACCAAGCCAACGAUCUGUAGCUGGUCUGAGAGGACGACCAGCCACACGGGGACAGAGACACGGCCCAGACUCCUACGGGAGGCAGCAGUGGGGAAUUUUGGACAAUGGGCGCAAGCCUGAUCCAGCAAUGCCGCGUGCAGGAAGAAGGCCUUCGGGUUGUAAACUGCUUUUGUACGGAACGAAACGGCUCUCUCUAAUACAGAGGGCUAAUGACGGUACCGUAAGAAUAAGCACCGGCUAACUACGUGCCAGCCGCCGCCGUAAGAC
rnacentral:rRNA from 1 species